rnacentral:rRNA from 1 species
AGAGUUUGAUCCUGGCUCAGAUUGAACGCUGGCGGCAGGCCUAACACAUGCAAGUCGAGCGGCAGCGGGAAAGUAGCUUGCUACUUUUGCCGGCGAGCGGCGGACGGGUGAGUAAUGCCUGGGGAUCUGCCCAGUCGAGGGGGAUAACUACUGGAAACGGUAGCUAAUACCGCAUACGCCCUACGGGGGAAAGCAGGGGACCUUCGGGCCUUGCGCUAUCAGAUGAGCCUAGGUCGGAUUAGCUAGUUGGUGAGGUAACGGCUCACCAAGGCGACGAUCCGUAACUGGUCUGAGAGGAUGAUCAGUCACACUGGAACUGAGACACGGUCCAGACUCCUACAGGAGGCAGCAGUGGGGAAUAUUGGACAAUGGGCGAAAGCCUGAUCCAGCCAUGCCGCGUGUGUGAAGAAGGUCUUCGGAUUGUAAAGCACUUUAAGUUGGGAGGAAGGGCAGUAAGUUAAUACCUUGCUGUUUUGACGUUACCGACAGAAUAAGCACCGGCUGACUUCGUGCCAGCAGCCGCGGUAAUACGAAGGGUGCAAGCGUUAAUCGGAAUUACUGGGCGUAAAGCGCGCGUAGGUGGUUCAGCAAGUUGGAUGUGAAAGCCCCGGGCUCAACCUGGGAACUGCAUCCAAAACUACUGAGCUAGAGUACGGUAGAGGGUGGUGGAAUUUCCUGUGUAGCGGUGAAAUGCGUAGAUAUAGGAAGGAACACCAGUGGCGAAGGCGACCACCUGGACUGAUACUGACACUGAGGUGCGAAAGCGUGGGGAGCAAACAGGAUUAGAUACCCUGGUAGUCC